GACGAACGCUGGCGGCGUGCCUAAUACAUGCAAGUCGAACGCAGUGGGGACGGGUGAGUAACACGUGGGUAACCUCCCAUCAGAGGGGAUAACACUUGGAAACAGGUGCUAAACCGAUAUUGAUGGAUGGACCCGCGGUGCAUUAGCUAGUUGGUGAGGUAAAGGCUCACCAAGGCGACGAUACAUAGCCGAACUGAGAGGGUGAGCGGGCAAGCCGGGGCUUAGACACGGCCCAUACCCCGACGGGAAGCAGCAGUAGGGAAUCUUCGGCAAUGGGCGGAAGUCUGGCCCAGCAACGCCGGGUGAGUGAAGAAGGUUUUCGGAUCGUAAAGCUCUGGUGUUAGAGAAGCGGUAACUAACCAGAAAGGGACGGCUAACUACGUGCCAGCCGCCGCGGUAAUUC
rnacentral:rRNA from 1 species